CUGCUGUCGGAAAAUUUCCAGAGGCACCAUCCCUGCUAUGAAGAGGGAAUGCCAGUACAACAGCCACAAGGGGUCUUCCUGUGGCCCUCAAACAAAAAAUCACUGCAUUACAUCAGCAGGCCGGACGCGGUGGCUUAUGCCUGUAAUCCCAGCACUGUGGGAGGCCGAGACGGGCGGAUCACGAGAUCAGGAGAUCGAGACCAUCCUGGCUAACACGACUGCAUUGGAGAGAAAGGCGCCGGGACAGAAAAGCCUGAGAUAAACCACCUGUCAUUCUUGGAGAAAAGGAUGCUCCGGCCUUCCCGAUUUGGUUGAUGAGAUGAAACAUCAACCCUUACAGAAAGACAUCACCAAUUCCGGAAAGGAUGCUGCGCCAGUCACGUUUCCGCACUUUGUGAGACGUUGAAAUCUCCAGAAGUUGCCCAAGGUUUUCAAGUUGAACACGGGAGAAAUGACUCGAUCUCUGAGGACUGUUUUCCUCAAUAAGGAGUUGCAAUCUUGGCUCCACCACCCUCCCUCCAAAACAUCUCGUGUGUCUGGUAUCUGGUUAUAUUGUGGCCUGACAGAGAAGUUUCUUUCGGGGUCAGUGAAU
rnacentral:lncRNA from 1 species